rnacentral:lncRNA from 1 species
AAAGGACCAAACAGAAGGCAAGAACAGCGGUUAUUUCAACAUCCACAAUUAUGCAGAACUGACUUCUAAUAUAUCACUGACAUAGGAAAGUUCCACCGAGAUCGAAAGGGAAGAGUGAGAUUGAAUCGAAAAUUGACAUAAUAGAGAGCAUAGUAGCAGAACUGGAAAUCACUGACAUAAUUCCACCGGGAUCAAAAUCGACGAUGCACUCAUCAUGUAGUUCGAAAAGCCAAACCUGGUUGUUGAUUGUUGUGCUACUGAUUUGUUGUUUCUGUUUUCCGACGUAGAACCAAGAAGCGAAAGGCCUUAUGGUCGAAACGUCGUAAACAGA